rnacentral:rRNA from 1 species
AGGGCACCACCAGGAGUGGAGCCUGCGGCUUAAUUUGACUCAACACGGGAAAACUUACCCGGCCCGGACACUGUGAGGACUGACAGGUUGGGAGCCCUUUCUCGAUCCGGUGGGUGGUGGUGCAUGGCCGUUCUUAGUUGGUGGAGCGAUUUGUCUGGUUAAUUCCGAUAACGAACGAGACUCUAGCCUGCUAAAUAGCCAACUGAUCCGCAGCGUCGGUUGCUUAUAAUGCUUCUUAGAGGGACAGGCGGCUUCCAGUCGCACGAGAUUGAGCAAUAACAGGUCUGUAAUGCCCUUAGAUGUCCGGGGCCGCACGCGCGCUACACUGAAGGAAUCAACGUGCAUUCUUACCUUGGCCGGAAGGCCUGGGGAAUCCGAUGAAACUCCUUCGUGAUUGGGAUUGAGCUUUGUAAUUAUCGCUCAUGAACGAGGAAUUCCCAGUAAGCGCGAGUCAUAAGCUCGCGUUGAUUACGUCCCUGCCCUUUGUACACACCGCCCGUCGCUACUACCGAUUGAAUG